UUCCCACGAAGCCUUGGCGGCCCUUUCCUCUUUAUCCUUCCAGUGAUUUUCACCUCUUCGUCACGUUGUGGGUGGAGGAGCAACUCCGCUAUUGCUGCCCAGAGAAGCUACUGGGAGCUGUGAGAGAGAGAGAGAGGGAGAGAGAGAGAGAGAGAGAGAGAGAGAAGCGAGCGUGGAGAGGAACUUAGAGACCGAAGGGGAGGUUUCCCAGGAACGGAUUUCGAGCCUGCAUCUGACCGAGGAUGGCUGGCAGUUCCUCUCAGUCCGAGCCUCUGGCUUUGCAAGACCUUAGUGACGACUUCAAGAAGCCGACGUUGCCGGUACCUCCGGUUGUGCGCGACAAGACCCCGGCCUCCAAUCCUUCAAACCCUGAGGAGGCGAAGAAGGAAAGGCCCGCGGCGCUGCUAGAGCCCGAUUCCGCGGAGCCUGACGUCCCGCCACCGCGGCCGGACAGCGGGGGCACCAGGAGUCCACCGAAGGAGCAGCCGCAGCCCCCCACAGCGGCUCCUUCUCUCGGCGGCCCGGCUCGGGCUCCCCCUUACCGAGAGCCUCCGUGGGGCGGCCCCGCGACAGCCCCCUACAGCCUAGAGACGCUCAAGGGUGGUACCAUCCUUGGCACCCGUAGCUUGAAAGGGACGAGUUGCUGCCUUUUCGGGAGGCUGUCUAGCUGCGACGUGUGCCUGGAGCACCCUUCGGUGUCCCGGUACCACGCCGUGCUGCAGCACCGGGCGUCCGGCCUCGAAGGAGAGUGCGACGGCCACGGGCCGGGCUUCUACCUUUACGAUCUGGGAAGCACUCACGGCACUUUCCUGAACAAAACUCGCAUCCCACCCCGCACCUAUUGUCGCGUCCACGUCGGGCACGUUCUUCGCUUUGGAGGUAGCACCCGGCUCUUUCUUCUUCAGGGACCAGAGGAAGACAGGGAAGCAGAAUCCGAGUUGACCGUAACGCAACUGAAAGAACUGCGAAAGCAGCAGCAAAUGAUGUUGGAGAAGAAGAUGUUAGGAGAAGACUCGGACGAGGAGGAAAUGGAUGCCACCGAAGGGAAGAGAAGUACUAGUAGUCAAGAUGAUGAGAUGGGCUGCACCUGGGGAAUGGGAGAAGAUGCUGUAGAAGAUGAGGCUGAAGAGAACCCCAUUGUCUUAGAGUUUCAGCAGGAAAGGGAGGCGUUUUAUAUAAAGGAUCCAAAAAAGGCUCUCCAAGGUUUUUUUGACCGAGAAGGAGAAGAAUUAGAAUACGAAUUUGAUGAACAGGGACAUAGCACUUGGCUCUGUAGAGUGAGAUUACCUGUGGAUGAUUCAACUGGAAAACAACUGGUAGCUGAGGCCAUUCAUUCAGGAAAGAAAAAAGAAGCAAUGAUCCAGUGUUCACUGGAAGCUUGUCGAAUCCUUGAUACUUUGGGAUUGCUGCGGCAGGAGGCAGUAUCUCGGAAAAGGAAAGCCAAGAACUGGGAAGAUGAAGACUUUUAUGAUAGUGAUGAUGACACCUUUCUUGAUAGAACCGGCCUGGUUGAAAAGAAGCGUCUGAACCGAAUGAAAAAAGCUGGGAAGAUAGAUGAGAAGCCAGAGACCUUUGAAUCAUUGGUUGCAAAGUUAAAUGAUGCUGAAAAGGAACUCUCUGAAAUUUCUGAGAAACUGAAAGCCUCAAGCAAAGCCCUGUCAGAGUCACCAUCUCAGGACUCUUUAGAGGCAUUUAUGUCAGAAAUGAAAUCUGGGAGUGCAUUGGAUGGUGUGUCCCGGAAGAAACUUCACCUGAGAACUUUUGAACUGAGGAAAGAACAACAGAGACUUAAGGGAUUGAUAAAAAUUGUAAAGCCAGCAGAGAUUCCAGAGCUGAAAAAGACUGAAAGUCAGGCUACAGAUGUGGAAAACAAAGCUAAAAAGCUUACAUUGCCUCUCUUUGGUGCUAUGAAAGGAGGAAGCAAAUUCAAAUUAAAAACGGGAACAGUAGGGAAGUUACCCCCUAAGCGUCCAGAACUCCCUCCAGCUCUAUUGAGAAUGAAGGAUGAGCCCGAAGUAGAAGAGGAGGAGGAGGAAGAGGACGAGGAGGAGGAAAAAGAGGGAGAUGAAAGGGGGAAAAUGGAAGCUGGAAGCAGUAGGCUGCAGCACGAGACAGAGCCAGAAGAUGCAGUGCAGGAAGUGAGGCCUCCCACUGACUUCACCUGUUCUAAAGAGACAAAAGCCCAUGAAAACAUGUCUCAACUCAGCCAAGAGGAACAGAAUAACGAUUAUCAAGAGAUUAGAGAAACAGCUGCAUCAUGUGAGGAACCCUCAGCAUCAAAGAAUGAACAUCAGAAAAACAGAGAUGAAUUGAAAAAAAAGAAAGCUCCCGGUCCAGGCAAACUUCCAGCAACACUUUCCUCCAAAUAUCCAGAAGAUGACCCAGACUACUGUGUGUGGGUCCCACCUGAAGGGCAAAGUGGAGAUGGCAGGACCCAUCUGAAUGACAAGUAUGGCUAUUGACUGCUUCAGAAUCCUAAAAGAAGACCUUGUGGACCAUGUGACAUGGGAUAUGUAGGGUCCUAUAUCAAGUUGAAUGUCCAGAGAAGGAGUUCAGAUACAGAAGCUGAGGCACAGGUGUUGAAGUAACCUAAGGCCACGGAGCUAGUAAGUGGUUGAGAUGUUAACCUUGUUCCCCUGACUCUGAGCUUUUUUUCCCCUUCUCAUAACCACCUGAAAAACUCAUCUAUACAGAGGAUUUAAGUGGGACAGAAUCCUUCAAAUUACAAAAGGAUUCACCAGAAUGUUCUCUAACUACCAAAUUUCCUUAUCACUUUAGUCAAUAAAAUCCACACUUUUAUUUUCUGAACUUUGUUUUAUUUCCAUAUUUUAAAGAAUGUAGUUCUUGAAUAUAACAGACUUUCGCUCUUUGGGAAGGGUCACUACUAACCCUCUCAUCAAAUUAGUUAAUUCCAGUUUGAUCAAUGCUGAUAAUACUUAACAAUUGACUUAUUUUCUUAUGGGUAUUGAAUAACUCAAUUUAGGAAGGAGCUUUGGGCAAGGUAGUUUAUAAUUUAAAUAUGAAUUUUAUAAUUAUACAUUUGUCUAUCUUCACACAUGAUCAAAUUUAAUUGAAUAAAUAGCUUGAAAGAGUGAAAUUAUAGUGUUAUCACAGUGUAGCAGAAGUUGGGGGCUUUCUUCUUGAAUCAGCCAUCAACUUGAUUUAUAGAUGUUUUAUCUCAUUAACCUUUAUGUUGUGGAGCUAAUUAGUGAUGCUGGGAACUGCAAAACACACUUGAAGCAGCCAUGUAGCUCUUUAACUCCAUCGUGCACCAAAUUAAACUGGACCCAAUUAUUCUGAAUCAUAGAAAACAUCUUUGGAAAGACUUUGCCUGCUUCAUUUCAAAUGGCUUACUGGAAUGAAAAUCAAACUUGAUGAGAACCCUGUUGUUUUUCUCUUUUGGCUGCAUACCAUUUUACAUCGCCUGAAUCCUUGAAAAGCUCUUCCCAGAGAGGAAGACACAUGCAGAUUGCUCUGACUAUGCCUGUUUGGGCAGAGUUUUCCCAGGACUCUGUGGAGGGUCCUAAGGGUUUCAAGGCUGGCCUUCCAUUGCUGGUGGGCACCAGGACAGCCAUGCCAGAACCCAGCCCCAUUCGGAGGGCUGCCAUCUUGAGGAUGGAGGGAGUCCCUCAGGUUCUUAAGGACUUAGAACCUUAGUCCCCCAGGUUCUCUGCAUCUUUUUGCUCUCGUUCCCCAUUCUUACUUUUGGGACUAAGCCCCUGAGGCCCUGGUAGUUGCAGUCUUUCUUCCCUUCCAGUCUUCUACGGGAGGAUUCUGAGCUGCGUGGCCUCCCAUCCUUGUGGCUGGAUUAAGGUGGUGGCUGGGAGGGAAGGAUGAGGAAAAUCACAGAGGCUGGAUCGAUUGGCAUAGAAAAAAGUGCGAAGCUACUCCCUGGAGAGAGAAGGGACUGGGUGUCGCUCUUGAGUGGAACUUUGAGAAAAAUGGCCACUUCUUCAAGAAGCUUAGCCAAGAUUUACAUUUUUUAAGGCAUUUGGAAUUCGGCUUGUGUGUUUUU